rnacentral:ncRNA from 2 species
UAUCUUUGUGCUGUUAAUGGUGUCCAAGAUAACAUGACUUUCUGCCGGACUUAAUAGGGAAUUCGGUGAAAAUCCGAAACAGUACCCGCUGCUGUAUGUUUCAUUUGUAAAAGGCCAUUGCAUUCUUUUAGCCACUGAUAUUUGUUUGUCGGGAAGGCGCAACGGUUGAGACGAGUCAGAAGACCUGCCAACAACAUGCGUUGCUA